UCCGCCCGCUACUUCCAAGCCAAGCUGUGUAGACUCCAUCCUCCUCCUCCUCGAGUCAUCCUUCAGUUCAGACUGCCAAUCGAGCGGCAAGCACUCUGACUUUGGCCGCACGCCAUGAAUCGCAGCAGGCUCGUUGUUUGGUUGCUCUUCGUCGUCGUCUUCCUCGCGUGUUCUUGCGCCGCCCCCGUCUGCGCCUCCUCGUGCCUUCUCGUUGCUGCGGCGGCCGGUGACGCGAGGAGGGUACCAGCAGCUGCCGCCGGCUUUGCGACGGUGAGCCGCCGCAGGGUUCCCGGCAGCAGGAACGUCCCUAAACAAAACAGGCGGCUGUUGAGGACGAGGACGACGUCGCUGCCGCCCCCGCCGCUGCCGAACAAGUUGAGGGCCACGGCGAUGCCCGCGCCCCCGCCGCCGAUCAUCUGAUAGAUAGAUACCAACCUUUCUGCUGCUUUCUACUCUCUCCCGUGCCUUACCGAUUACCAUUGCCUGGGCGGGCAUGCUCUACUGUCUGCUCUGCAUACAGCGGAGUUGCAUGCACAUGGCAAAGCUCUUGCUGCUGGUUGGUGCGUAUGCAACUGUCGCCAUGGCGAUAAUGUCGCUAGUGUUUCUGUUUAUUUUAUUGAGUUGAAUGUACGAAUAAUUUAUAUUAAAAGUUUAUUGUUGGUGGAGAGUGUCU